GACGAACGCUGGCGGCGUGCUUAACACAUGCAAGUCGAACGGUGAAGGGACCGGUUUUUGCUGGUUCUGGAUGAGUGGCGAACGGGUGAGUAACACGUGAGUAACCUGCCCCCUUCUUCUGGAUAACCGCAUGAAAGUGUGGCUAAUACGGGAUAUUCUGCGCCUGCUGCAUGGUGGGUGUGGGAAAGAUAUUGUUUCGGUGGGGGAUGGGCUCGCGGCCUAUCAGCUUGUUGGUGGGGUGAUGGCCUACCAAGGCGGUGACGGGUAGCCGGCCUGAGAGGGUGGACGGUCACACUGGGACUGAGACACGGCCCAGACUCAUACGGGAGGCAGCAGUGGGGAAUAUUGCACAAUGGGCGCAAGCCUGAUGCAGCGACGCCGCGUGAGGGAUGGAGGCCUUCGGGUUGUAAACCUCUUUCGCCAGUGAAGCAGGCCUGUCCCUUUUGUGGGUGGGUUGACGGUAGCUGGAUAAGAAGCGCCGGCUAACUACGUG
rnacentral:rRNA from 1 species